rnacentral:rRNA from 1 species
CCUACGGGAGGCAGCAGUGAGGAAUAUUGGACAAUGGGCGCAAGCCUGAUCCAGCCAUGCCGCGUGCAGGAUGACGGUCCUAUGGAUUGUAAACUGCUUUUAUACAGGAAGAAACACUGGUUCGUGAACCAGCUUGACGGUACUGUAAGAAUAAGGAUCGGCUAACUCCGUGCCAGCAGCCGCGGUAA